rnacentral:rRNA from 1 species
AACGAACGCUGCGGCGUGUUUAACACAUGCAAGUCGAACGCGAAAGGGACUUCGGUUCUUAGUAGAGUGGCGCACGGGUGAGUAACGCGUAGAUAACCUGUCUUCAUAUCCGGAAUAACACGCCGAAAGGGGUACUUAAUACCGGAUAUUCUUGCAUUUCACAGGUAAGGCAAGGAAAGGUGGCCUCUGAUUCAAGCUACUGUAUGAAGAGGGGUCUGCGUACCAUUAGCUAGUAGGUGGGGUAAUGGCCUACCUAGGCGACGAUGGUUAGCGGGUCUGAGAGGAUGAUCCGCCACACUGGCACUGGAAUACGGGCCAGACUCCUACGGGAGGCAGCAGUGAGGAAUAUUGCGCAAUGGGGGCAACCCUGACGCAGCGACGCCGCGUGAGUGAGGAAGGUCUUCGGAUCGUAAAGCUCUGUCAAGAGGGAAGAAGAGCAAAGCAGCGAAUAACUGUUUUGUUUGACGGUACCUCUAAAGAAGCACGGUAA